rnacentral:rRNA from 1 species
CCUACGGGUGGCAGCAGUGGGGAAUAUUGCACAAUGGGGGAAACCCUGAUGCAGCAACGCCGCGUGGGUGAAGGAGCGUUUCGGCGCGUAAAGCCCUGUCAGCGGGGAAGAAGGAAGAUGGUACCCGACCAAGAAGCCCCGGCUAACUACGUGCCAGCAGCCGCGGUAAUACGGAGGGGGCGAGCGUGAUCCGGAAUUACUGGGUGUAAGGGGAGCGUAGACGGCGAGGUAAGCCUGAGGUGGAAGCCCGCGGCCCAACCGCGGAACUGCUUUGUGGACUGUGUUGCUGGAGUGUCGGAGAGGGAGGCGGAAUUCCAAGUGUAGCGGUGAAAUGCGUAGAUAUUAGGAGGAACAGCAGUGGCGAAGGCGGCCAGCUGGACGAUGACUGACGCUGAGGCUCGAAAGCGUGGGGAGCAAACAGGAUUAGAUACCCUGGUAGUC